rnacentral:rRNA from 1 species
AUGCUGCCGUCGCCAUGGCCGCGACCACCGUGCUCCCCGCGCCGCGAGAAGACGCCCAGAAGGACUGCCAUGGUCCACUUCGUCCAUCACGAGGACCGAAUCGAGCGGGGAAGGCCCGUACACUCGCCAUCGCCACCAUCUUCAUCUUGUACAUCGCCGCGGCCUCGACGUCGAUCCGCAUCACCUCGUCCAUCCCGGCCUCGUACGAGCUCACCACCGACCUCCUCUCGACCCCGUGACGAUGCUGAUGCCCCUGUGAUCGACUACGUCACCGACGACCCCUCCUUCUCGCCUGAGCAACCAGAUGACGGAGUCCAGGAGCCAGAUGACACCUUUGACGACUGCUACUACACCAAGGGCGUCUGCUACCACGUGACGGAGACCGCCGAUGACCAGGUGUAG